UGCCCAGUAACUUCUAUCCAUACCUCCUCGUGGUACUAUUAACCGGGGUACGAGUAAACUUAGAGAAGAUCGGGUAAACAACCACGGUGGGAACUCUAAUCGUAUGCUGACAGGGAAGG
rnacentral:ribozyme from 1 species